rnacentral:rRNA from 1 species
AACGAACGCUGGCGGCAUGCCUAACACAUGCAAGUCGAACGAGAUCUUCGGGUCUAGUGGCGCACGGGUGCGUAACGCGUGGGAAUCUGCCCUUUGGUUCGGAAUAACAGUUGGAAACGACUGCUAAUACCGGAUGAUGACGAAAGUCCAAAGAUUUAUCGCCAGAGGAUGAGCCCGCGUAGGGUUAGCUAGUUGGUGUGGUAAAGGCGCACCAAGGCGACGAUCCUUAGCUGGUCUGAGAGGAUGAUCAGCCACACUGGGACUGAGAUACGGCCCAGACUCCUACGGGAGGCAGCAGUGGGGAAUAUUGGACAAUGGGCGAAAGCCUGAUCCAGCAAUGCCGCGUGAGUGAUGAAGGCCUUAGGGUUGUAAAGCUCUUUUACCCGGGAUGAUAAUGACAGUACCGGGAGAAUAAGCUCCGGCUAACUCCGUGCCAGCAGCCGCCGUAAGAC